UACGGAGGGUGCAAGCGUUAUCCGGAUUCACUGGGUUUAAAGGGCGCGUAGGCGGCCACCGCAAGUCGACUGUGAAAUCUCCGGGCUUAACCCGGAAAGGUCAGCCGAUACUGCGGGGCUAGAGUGCAGAAGGGGCAACUGGAAUUCUCGGUGUAGCGGUGAAAUGCGUAGAUAUCGAGAGGAACACCUGCGGCGAAGGCGGGUUGCUGGGCUGACACUGACGCUGAUGCGCGAAAGCUAGGGGAGCGAACGGG
rnacentral:rRNA from 1 species